rnacentral:rRNA from 2 species
UGCCCCAGUAACGGCGAGUGAAGCGGCAACAGCUCAGAUUUGGAAUCUGGCCCCCCCCCGGGGGCCCGAGUUGUAAUCUGGAGAGGAUGCUUCUGGCGCGGCGCCCGGCGAGUUCCCUGGAACGGGACGCCGGAGAGGGUGAGAGCCCCGUACUCCGGGCCGCCUAGCCUCUGCGAAGCUCCUUCGACGAGUCGAGUAGUUUGGGAAUGCUGCUCUAAACGGGAGGUAAAUUUCUUCUAAAGCUAAAUACCGGCCAGAGACCGAUAGCGCACAAGUAGAGUGAUCGAAAGAUGAAAAGCACUUUGAAAAGAGGGUCAAACAGUACGUGAAAUUGUUGAAAGGGAAGCGCCCGUGGCCAGACUUGCGCCCCGCGGCUCACCCGGCGGACCCCGCCGGGGCACGCCGCGGGGCGCAGGCCAGCAUCGGCUUCCCCAGGGGGACAAGGACGGCGGGAACGUGGCUCCUCCGGGAGUGUUAUAGCCCGCCGCGCCAUGCCCCUGGGGGGGCCGAGGACCGCGCUUCGGCAAGGAUGCUGGCGUAAUGGCCACCGGCGACCCGUCUUGAAACACGGACCAAGGAGUCAAGCAUUGGGGCGAGUGUCUGGGUGGCAAACCCGCACGCGAAAUGAAAGUGAACGCAGGUGAGAGCUUCGGCGCACCACCGACCGAUCCUGAUGUCCUCGGAUGGAUUUGAGUAAGAGCCCCACCGCUUGGACCCGAAAGAUGGUGAACUAUGCCUGAAUAGGGUGAAGCCAGAGGAAACUCUGGUGGAGGCUCGCAGCGGUUCUGACGUGCAAAUCGAUCGUCAAAUUU